CCUACGGGUUGCAGCAGUGAGGAAUAUUGGUCAAUGGGCGCGAGCCUGAACCAGCCAAGUCGCGUGAGGGAAGACGGCCCUACGGGUUGUAAACCUCUUUUGCCGGGGAGCAACGGGCGCCACGUGAGGCGCCACUGAGAGUACCCGGAGAAAAAGCAGCGGCUAACUCCGUGCCAGCAGCCGCGGUAAUACGGGGGAUGAGAGCGUUAUCCGAAUUGAUUGGGUUUAAAGGGUGCGUAGGAGGAGCGUUAAGUCAGUGGUAAAAUUGGGGGGCUCAACCCCUUCCCGCCAUUGAAACUGGCUCUCUUGAGUGGACGAGAAGUAUGCGGAAGGCGUGGUGUAGCGGUGAAAUGCAUAGAUAUCACGCAGAACCCCGAUUGCGAAGGCAGCAUGCCGGCUUCCUACUGACGCUGAAGCACGAAAGCGUGGGGAUCGAACAGGAUUAGAUACCCGUGUAGUC
rnacentral:rRNA from 1 species